rnacentral:rRNA from 1 species
UACGUAGGACCCGAGCGUUAUCCGGAUUCAUUGGGUGUAAAGGGUGUGUAGGCGGGCGUGGGCGUCCGGGGUGAAAGGUUCCGGCUCAACCUGAAACAUGCCUUGGAUACGGCACGAGUUGGGGGCGGGAGAGGACGGUGGAAUUCCUGGUGUAGCGGUGAAAUGGGUAGAUAUUAGGAGGAACACCAGUGGGGAAGGCGGCCGUCUGGCCCGCAAACGACGCUGAAACACGAAAGCGUGGGGAUCAAACAGG